UUGCCUCAGUAACGGCGAGUGAAGCGGCAACAGCUCAAAUUUGAAAUCUGGCUUCGGUCCGAGUUGUAAUUUGUAGAGGAUGCUUCGGCUUAUGUACCGGUCUAAGUUCCUUGGAACAGGACGUCACAGAGGGUGAGAAUCCCGUUUGUGGCCGGCACUUCCGCCAUGUGAAGCUCCUUCGACGAGUCGAGUUGUUUGGGAAUGCAGCUCUAAAUGGGAGGUAAAUUUCUUCUAAAGCUAAAUACCGGCCAGAGACCGAUAGCGCACAAGUAGAGUGAUCGAAAGAUGAAAAGCACUUUGGAAAGAGAGUUAAAAAGUACGUGAAAUUGUUGAAAGGGAAGCGCUUGCGACCAGACUUGCCCGCGGAUGCUCAACCGGUCCUUCGGCCGGUGCACUCUUCCGCGGUCAGGCCAGCAUCAGUUCGGGCGGUCGGAUAAAGGCCUUGGGAAUGUGGCUCUCUUCGGGGAGUGUUAUAGCCCUUGGUGCAAUACGGCCCGCCUGGACUGAGGCCCGCGCUUCGGCUAGGAUGCUGGCGUAAUGGUCGUAAGCGGCCCGUCUUGAAACACGGACCAAGGAGUCUAACAUCUAUGCGAGUGUUUGGGUGUCAAACCCGUGCGCGAAAUGAAAGUGAACGGAGGUGGGAACCUUAGGGUGCACCAUCGACCGAUCCUGAUGUCUUCGGAUGGAUUUGAGUAAGAGCAUAGCUGUUGGGACCCGAAAGAUGGUGAACUAUGCCUGAAUAGGGUGAAGCCAGAGGAAACUCUGGUGGAGGCUCGCAGCGGUUCUGACGUGCAAAUCGAUCGUCAAAUUUGGGUAUAGGGGCGAAAGACUAAUCGAACCAUC
rnacentral:rRNA from 1 species